GAUGAAGAACGUAGCGAAAUGCGAUAAGUAAUGUGAAUUGCAGAAUUCAGUGAAUCAUCGAAUCUUUGAACGCACAUUGCGCCCUCCGGCAUUCCGGGGGGCAUGCCUGUCCGAGCGUCACGAAAACCCCAUCACACUCGUUGUGGUCAUGGCUGCAGUGAGUCGUCUCCAGCGGAGAGGGUCACGCCGCUGAAAGGAAUGGUGCGGAUGAGUUCCGAUGGCCGAACGUAGUACUUGACAACCGUCGGCCGAUGGGACCCUCCAUCUCGCCCUGACGACGUACCCCCGUCGUACCCCCGAUCAGGUGGACCUCGGAUCAGGUAGGGAUACCCGCUGAACUUAAGCAUAUCAAUAAGCGGAGGA
rnacentral:misc_RNA from 1 species